rnacentral:rRNA from 1 species
UCUCAGUUCGGAUUGUAGUCUGCAACUCGACUACAUGAAGCUGGAAUCGCUAGUAAUCGCGAAUCAGAAUGUCGCGGUGAAUACGUUCCCGGGUCUUGUACACACCGCCCGUCACGCCAUGGGAGUCAGUAACGCCCGAAGCCGGUGACCCAACCAAUUCAGGAGGGAGCCGUCGAAGGUGGGACCGAUAACUGGGGUGAAGUCGUAACAAGGUACC